ACGAACGCUGGCGGCGUGCUUCACACAUGCAAGUCGAACGGAAAGGCCCUGCUUUUGUGGGGUGCUCGAGUGGCGAACGGGUGAGUAACACGUGAGUAACCUGCCCUUGACUUUGGGAUAACUUCAGGAAACUGGGGCUAAUACCGGAUAGGAGCUCCUGCUGCAUGGUGGGGGUUGGAAAGUUUCGGCGGUUGGGGAUGGACUCGCGGCUUAUCAGCUUGUUGGUGGGGUAGUGGCUUACCAAGGCUUUGACGGGUAGCCGGCCUGAGAGGGUGACCGGCCACAUUGGGACUGAGAUACGGCCCAGACUCCUACGGGAGGCAGCAGUGGGGAAUAUUGCACAAUGGGCGGAAGCCUGAUGCAGCAACGCCGCGUGCGGGAUGACGGCCUUCGGGUUGUAAACCGCUUUCGCCUGUGACGAAGCGUGAGUGACGGAAAUGGGUAAAGAAGCACCGGCUAACUACGUG
rnacentral:rRNA from 1 species